CUGGAAAAAAAAGGAAUAUGCUCCUACUUCUUUCAUACCAAGGCUUCCUAUAAGAGGUACUCUAUCAGCAAUCCUGCAGAGAUUCUUGGAUACUAUUCUACCUGAGUUGCUGCUUUUUUAGUUGGCCAUCCAUUUACCAGAUCAAGGUGAAAGAAAUCAAUUUUUCUCCCAAAUUCAAGAUUCAAGAUGUGAAGAGUUAUGAUAUUAUAUUUGUUUAAUUAGUUGUAAUGUAUUAUUAUUUAUUUUGUUUUUUGUAAAUUUAUGUUUUGCAUUGUGAUGUAACAACAAUAUUACUUAGUUUGCAUUUU